rnacentral:rRNA from 1 species
AACCUGCGGAAGGAUCAUCGUCAAUGCCUCACAAUCAGACCGACCUGUGAAUUCAUUUUUCCAUCUACUAGCAGGCAGGGGCCGGGCUUCUUUCGUCCUCCACUUGCUUUUCCUGUUGUGUUGGGUCGGGGGGGAUGCAAAGCAUUGUUUUGCCCGACCUCUCCUCCUCCUUCCCAACAAACACAAACCCCGGCGCUUCGUGCACCAAGGAACUCCAAUCUGUUAAGUACGAUUCCCAACGGCCCGGAGACGGUGCCUCGUGGGCGUUGUCAUGACACACAUUAUUUAUACAAAAUGACUCUCAGAAACGGAUAUCUCGGCUCUUGCAUCGACGAAGAACGUAGCGAAAUGCGAUACUUUGUGUGAAUUGCAGAAUCCCGUGAACCACCGAGUCUUUGAAUGCAAGUUGUGCCCAAAGCCAUUAGGUAGAGGGCACGCCUGCCUGGGUGUCACACAUCGUUACCCCAACGCAAACAAAUGUCCCACACGAUGACUGUUGCGUAGUAGGGUGCACGCUGACCUCCCGCGAGCACUGUCUCGUGGUUGGUUGAAAAUCGAGUUCGUGGCCGAGUACGCCGUGAUAAAAUGGUGGAUGAGUAACGCUUGAGAACCAAUCACGCGCUGCGACUCGGUCCGCUCCAGACUCCUUCACGACCCUAUAGUGCCUCUUCUUCAUAUACGCUCUCAACGAGACCUCAGGUCAGGGGGGGCUACCCGCUAAGUUUAAGCAUAUCAAUAAGCGGAGGA